UUUAGGUGUUUCCUAUUCCAAAUGGGACCUAUUUUAAUUUUCUUAGUCUACUUAGGAUUAGUUAUUUAAGUUUCCUGUUUUAAUUAGAAUUCAGGUUUUUUUUUUCCUAUUUAAUCUAGGAUUCCUAUUAUAAUUUGGUUUAUCUAAACUUCCUUGUUAGUAGAUUAAUUUUCCUAUUGGAAUUAGGAGAUUAAAAUCUCUAUAAAUAGGCCUUAAUUCUAUGUAUUUCAGUUCUAGUUUUUAGUCAAUAUAAUUUUCAGCAAAGUCAUUUUCUCUCAGUAUAUUGUGUAUUGUGUGAGUAGUGUUCUUUGUGAGCUUCACGCUGCAUCAUAUCUGCAUUUUAUUGUUUUCUUUUAUUUCUAGCACAAAAUUAUGAGGUAUAAUUUUUUAGGAUAAAAUUCAAGCUAUGUUACUCAUUGCAGUUUGCCAGGAUCUUUUGAUAAUCUGUUCUUUCCAAUUUUGCAUGAUGCAGAGCAGAACUUAAAUUCAAAAUUUUGAUAUAAUGCAAAUGUAGAAAUUGAUUGUGUCAUAUAAGAAUCUUAUCAUGGAUUUUAUUGGCUUGGUUCUAAAUUCUGAAAAUUUACAAAUUCAAUAUACAGGGUGAUAUAAUUAAAGAAGGAC
rnacentral:misc_RNA from 1 species